CCUACGGGAGGCAGCAGUGAGGAAUAUUGGUCAAUGGGCGGGAGCCUGAACCAGCCAAGCCGCGUGAGGGAAGAAGGUACAGCGUAUCGUAAACCUCUUUUGUCAGGGAACAAAGGCGGGGACUAGUCCCCGGAUGAGGGUACCUGAAGAAAAAGCAUCGGCUAACUCCGUGCCAGCAGCCGCGGUAUUACGGAGGAUGCGAGCGUUAUCCGGAUUUUGGGGGGUUAAAGGGUGCGCAGGCGGCCUGUUAAGUCAGCGGUAAAAGCCCGGGGCUCAACCCCGGCGAGCCGUUGAAACUGGCGGGAUGGAGUUGGAGAGAAGUACGCGGAAUGCGCGGUGUAGCGGUGAAAUGCUUAGAUAUCGCGCAGAACCCCGAUUGCGAAGGCAGCGUACCGGCUCCACACUGACGCUGAGGCACGAAAGCGUGGGUAUCGAACAGGAUUAGAUACCCCUGUAGUC
rnacentral:rRNA from 1 species